CGCAUCAAGGUGUGCUGCAAUCCGGGCGGGCUCGGCGCUGCUCCUUAACCCGCGUCUGCCCGCGGCGCUGCCCGAGCGCGCUCCCCGCCCGCCCCGCGCGGCCCCCGCGGCACCGCGCUGCUCCGCGGCACCGCGCUGCGAUGCGGUGCGGCAGCGGGCACCGAGCGACCGACUUGUGCCGCUGCUGGGCGGCGGGGGCGAGUGAGGACUAAUCCCAUCCCUGGGCCUGCUCUCUGUUCCCUUCCUGCAUUAGAGAUUGGCUAUAAGGAGAAGGCUGACGGCUGCAGCAUGAAGCGCAUUAUUACCUUGUGAUUCCAUGACCCUCCUCUAUGCAUCCCUAACUCUCGAAAGCUGAUUCAGCUUUCAGCUAGUGCUCUGGUGAGUCCUCUGCUGCAACAGAAGCUCCUAACUGAGGGGAGAAAAGGAAGGACAAGCAAGCCAACAGGCAGAUAAUUGUUCUGUGCUGACAGUUUGUCAAGUGAUGGAAGCACAAUUUUAGCCAAGAGAUCUGCAUUACAGCGGCGAGUGAGCAGAAGUCUCUUCUUUUCCUCCCAGAUGGCAUUGACAUAUAGCCUGAAGGGGCUAUCAGGAUACAAAGCUAAAGAUGGUUAAAGACAUUAAAAACUGUACAAUGUGAGCACCAUCUACACCAGGACCAUCAUCUAGGAGGAAGAUUCAUCCUGACAUAUCAGGCAGAAAUCAGAUCUUCUACUGGUGUUAUAUAGAGCUGUUGAGCCAAAGGUAUUUUUGAGAUAGACAAAAAAUAUAUAUUCUUGCUAAUAACCAUGUCUUUU